UACGUAGGGUGCAAGCGUUAAUCGGAAUUACUGGGCGUAAAGCGUGCGCAGGCGGUUGUGCAAGACAGAUGUGAAAGCCCCGGGCUCAACCUGGGAACGGCAUUUGUGACUGCACGGCUAGAGUGUGUCAGAGGGGGGUAGAAUUCCACGUGUAGCAGUGAAAUGCGUAGAGAUGUGGAGGAAUACCGAUGGCGAAGGCAGCCCCCUGGGAUAACACUGACGCUCAUGCACGAAAGCGUGGGGAGCAAACAGG
rnacentral:rRNA from 1 species